CGAGUAAGUCAGCCUAAUCCAACCCACCAUAGUAUUUAAGGUUGGAGCGGAGGAACCAAUUUGUGGGGCGUAUCUCACAGAGAGUGUCAACUAAAGAGUCAAGAGUUAAACAUUAAAUCUAGCUAAAUACUGAACUCAGAACUCAUUACUCAGCACUCGCCAGAGAGGGGCAUCUCUCAGCCCUAGCCCGUCAGCUAACUUCGUAGGCAUUGAGAGGAGACUGA
rnacentral:sRNA from 2 species